GUGCUCACUUCUGCAGCACAUAUGUUAAAGUCGGAGCAAUACAGAGAUUAGCAUGGGCCCUGCGUGAGGAUGACGUGAAAAUAUGUGAAAUGUUCUGUAUUUAA
ensembl:snRNA LOC120093299 U6 spliceosomal RNA